rnacentral:rRNA from 1 species
CAGUCGCCGCGGGAAAACGAAGGGUGCAAGCGUUACUCGGAAUUACUGGGCGUAAAGCGUGCGUAGGUGGUGGUUUAAGUCAGUUGUGAAAGCCCUGGGCUCAACCUGGGAAUUGCAGUGGAUACUGGAUCACUAGAGUGUGGUAGAGGAUAGUGGAAUUUCCGGUGUAGCAGUGAAAUGCGUAGAUAUCGGAAGGAACAUCUGUGGCGAAGGCGACUACCUGGGCCAACACUGACACUGAGGCACGAAAGCGUGGGGAGCAAACAGGAUUAGAUACCCCUGUAGUCCCUGUCUCUUAUAC